GGAUCAAGGAAUCGGUCAUGCCUUGGUAUGUACUGGUUUUAUUGGUUUCUUCCUUCUGACGAACCAUGAUGUCAUUAAUUUGGUGUCUUGGGGAAUCAGGACUGUUACUUUGAAAAAAUUAGAGUGUUUAAAGCAGGCUCACGCUUGAAUACAUUAGCAUGGAAUAAUGAAAUAGGACGUUUGAUUCUAUUUUGUUGGUUUCUAGGAUUGACGUA
rnacentral:rRNA from 1 species